rnacentral:rRNA from 1 species
GAUGAACGCUGGCGGCGUGCCUAAUACAUGCAAGUCGAGCGAACGGACGAGAAGCUUGCUUCUCUGAUGUUAGCGGCGGACGGGUGAGUAACACGUGGAUAACCUACCUAUAAGACUGGGAUAACUUCGGGAAACCGGAGCUAAUACCGGAUAAUAUUUUGAACCGCAUGGUUCAAAAGCGAAAGACGGUCUUGCUGUCACUUAUAGAUGGAUCCGCGCUGCAUUAGCUAGUUGGUAAGGUAACGGCUUACCAAGGCAACGAUGCAUAGCCGACCUGAGAGGGUGAUCGGCCACACUGGAACUGAGACACGGUCCAGACUCCUACGGGAGGCAGCAGUAGGGAAUCUUCCGCAAUGGGCGAAAGCCUGACGGAGCAACGCCGCGUGAGUGAUGAAGGUCUUCGGAUCGUAAAACUCUGUUAUUAGGGAAGAACAUAUGUGUAAGUAACUGCGCACAUCUUGACGGUACCUAAUCAGAAAGCCACGGCUAACUACGUG